UAGAAUGAGCGUUUUUGUUGCAAGCUCCUUUGAAAAAGAUCCAAACUUUGCAAAGGUAGCAUGGACAUCAUCUUGCAUGAUCGUCUUGACCUUGCAUACAAAAUAUAAAGAAGAAUACCUUAGUAGCAAUGCACUAGAUAAAAAAUUUAAACAAAAAUAAAACUAAAAAGAGAAAGAAUAGAAAAGAAAAUUAUAGAAGAAACAAAAAUAACUACCUACAAAAAAAAAUAUUUACAAUUG
rnacentral:lncRNA from 1 species